GCCGUGGCCCAGUGGCAGAGUUUCUGCUUGGCUCGCAGAAGGUCCCAGGUUCAAUACCCAGCAUCUCCA
rnacentral:tRNA from 1 species